UAGGGAAUCUUCCACAAUGGACGAAAGUCUAAUGGAGCAACGCCGCGUGAGUGAAGAAGGUUUUCGGAUCGUAAAGCUCUGUUGUUGGUGAAGAAGGAUAGAGGCAGUAACUGGUCUUUAUUUGACGGUAAUCAACCAGAAAGUCACGGCUAACUACUUGCCAG
rnacentral:rRNA from 1 species